rnacentral:rRNA from 1 species
GAACGCUGGCGGCAGCCUAAACAUGCAAGUCGAACGGUAACAUUUCUAGCUUGCUAGAAGAUGACGAGUGGCGGACGGGUGAGUAAUGCUUGGGAACUUGCCUUUGCGAGGGGGAUAACAGUUGGAAACGACUGCUAAUACCGCAUAAUGUCUUCGGACCAAACGGGGCUUCGGCUCCGGCGCAAAGAGAGGCCCAAGUGAGAUUAGCUAGUUGGUAAGGUAACGGCUUACCAAGGCGACGAUCUCUAGCUGUUCUGAGAGGAAGAUCAGCCACACUGGGACUGAGACACGGCCCAGACUCCUACGGGAGGCAGCAGUGGGGAAUAUUGCACAAUGGGGGAAACCCUGAUGCAGCCAUGCCGCGUGUGUGAAGAAGGCCUUCGGGUUGUAAAGCACUUUCAGUUGUGAGGAAAAGUUAGUAGUUAAUACCUGCUAGCCGUGACGUUAACAACAGAAGAAGCACCGGCUAACUCCGUGCCAGCAGCCGCGGUAAUACGGAGGGUGCGAGCGUUAAUCGGAAUUACUGGGCGUAAAGCGCACGCAGGCGGUUUGUUAAGCUAGAUGUGAAAGCCCCGGGCUC